CGCCAUGGACGCGGCCGUGAGCGCCGGAUGAGGCGCGUUCAGGACCUGCAGGAGCUCCCCAUCAAAGCUCCACAUCCAGGCCGCCGUCCAGGAACACCUCUCGCCACCCAAAGGUUCCCUGGCAAGAAUGCAAACCAGCCCACGAGUUCACCGCGGUGGCGGCGUGCGAAUGUGCGAUGGCAGCGGGUGACCUUCUUCUUCGACUCCGUGGGCUUUGAAUUGUAUGCGGUCAUGUAACCGAGCUGCUGCUUUUUGGAGCUGAUCUGGACUACUUGUUCAAUGAAGUAGUUAAAUCUUUUGCAAGUCAAGACAAUGCAUUCACCUUACGGAUGGAUUGAUUUUGUUUUUGCCUGUUUGAAAUGCCUUUGAUGUUGCUGCUUAUUGUGACUUGGAGACGGUUUGCAGCUCUAGUAAUUUCUUGUGUUAAUGAGAAAGAAAUUAACAUUCUGACCAUUUGUAGUUCUAGCUUUAGAUUAUUCUUAAGUUUAUAUUGAACUUGUUUUUUGUUCGACUUGAUGAAUGUGAAGCUUAAACCUGACUGGUAUUAAAUGUGGGCAGAACCUGGAGCUCGUUGGAACUGAUC